rnacentral:rRNA from 1 species
UACGAAGGGGGCGAGCGUUGUUCGGAAUUACUGGGCGUAAAGCGCACGUAGGCGGGUUGCUAAGCCAGGGGUGAAAUCCUGGAGCUCAACUCCAGAACUGCCCUUGAUACUGGCGGCCUUGAGUCCGGGAGAGGUGAGUGGAACUGCGAGUGUAGAGGUGAAAUUCGUAGAUAUUCGCAAGAACACCAGUGGCGAAGGCGGCUCACUGGCCCGGUACUGACGCUGAGGUGCGAAAGCGUGGGGAGCAAACAGG